GACAGAGGUGCCAAGCGUUAGGCGGAAUCACUGGGCUUAAAGCGUGUGUAGGCGGACUUCUAAGUACCUUGUGAAAUCCCACGGCUCACCCGUGGAACUGCUCGGUAUACUGGUUGUCUUGAGCCUUCUAGGGGCGAGUGGAACAAAUGGUGGAGCGGUGAAAUGCGUAGAUAUCGGGAGGAACACCUGUGGCGAAAGCGGCUCACUGGACCACAACUGACGCUGAGGCGCGAAAGCCAGGGGAGCAAACGGG
rnacentral:rRNA from 1 species